UUUUCUCUCGCUCUCUCACGCUCUCUCGGAAAAAGACGGAGUCUCUCUCCCACGCUCUUGGCUCCCGCACGCUCUCUUUUUUCUCUCGGAGGAUCCCUCUCUAAAAGGGGAAACGGCCGAACGGUCUCGGGGACUCUCUCUCUCUCUCUGAUCGGCUCAUCAACUGGUGCGUUCGAAACCCUUGAUUGGAUCUUUGGAUCCAAUCGCGAAUCGGCAAAGCAGCUCUGUUCGAUUCCCUGUCGUCACAAAUCACGCCGAACGCCGUCGAAGAGCAGCGUCGCUGCCACCGCCGAUUGGAGGCUCUCGGAUCUCACCGCCUCGCGUGGCUCAGCCGGAUCGACGGACGCUCUCAAAGGGAUCUCUCUCUGGAUUCGUGAGGGUUCAGUUGUUCUUUCGGAGGCUCCUUCUCCGUCGAAGCUUGGGUCGAAGGUUUUCUUCCAUUAGCAGGCGAUCAGAGAUCGAGCGCCGGUGGUUGGGGAUCGCUAGGGAAAUCUGUUCUUUCUCUCUGUUCGAGUUCUCGCUCUCUCUGUUCGAGCGAUCCGGCUUCGGAAGCUUUGGAUCAGGUGUUCUCCGACUCUUUCCCAAAGAUUUGACGCUCGCUCGCUCCAUCAGUUCUCCUGGCAAAUCUAAAACAUAGCACAUUUGCUUCACCGAGCGAAAAGCACGAGGCGAGAGGAGGCGCAUAUUUCUGGAUCGUCAAUAUGUUUCUUGGAAUUGCAACUUCGCUGAACACGCUAUUAUCUUUCAUUGCAUUUUCAGUUUUAGUACAUAUGGACCAGUAACUCUCUCUCUCUCUCUCUCUCUCUCUCUCUCUCUCUCUUUCAAUCUCUCAAUGUUCCUUAGAGGUAGGGUGUCUCGAGUUUGGGACAUAAUUGAUGUAGCCCAAGGCCGGUUAUUCAAACAAUAUGAUUGUGAGAGUAACUUACACAUACGAAAACUUAGUCACAAAAUUGAGCAAAAAAUUUAAUUC